rnacentral:sRNA from 1 species
AGGAUUGAGGAGUUGGAAGAGACCUUUAGAACAGCUGGUCAUUAUGCCGACCGGGUGCCUGCACUAAGUUCGGCAUCAAUAUGGCGACCUCCUGGGAGCGGGGGGCCACCAAGUUGCCUAAGGAUGGCUGAACUGGCCCAGGUCAGAAACGGAGCAGGUCAGAAUUCCUGCACUGACCAGUAGUGGGACUGUGCCUGGGCGGUAUAGCAAGAUCUUGGUUCUU